UCGGUCCUCUAACGCGCCCAUAACCUGCCCAAUUAUUGUGACUCGGCGGUUCGGCUGAUAUUGGAGCAUAAUCUAUGGAGAAAAAUCCAGAAUCCAAAUUAUCUUCCCCUUCUUUUAUCUUAAACAUUUCAGCAUGUACUUCACUAUGUUCUUGAGCUUUGUUGGCAUCUUCGCUACUUUGGUUGCUUCUUUCUUUUAAUACUCUUGUUGCAUAAAAAAA
rnacentral:lncRNA from 1 species